rnacentral:rRNA from 1 species
AUUGAACGCUGGCGGCAGGCCUAACACAUGCAAGUCGAACGGUAACAGAAAGCAGCUUGCUGCUUUGCUGACGAGUGGCGGACGGGUGAGUAAUGUCUGGGAAACUGCCUGAUGGCGGGGGAUAACUACUGGAAACGGUAGCUAAUACCGCAUAACGUCGCAAGACCAAAGAGGGGGACCUUCGGGCCUCUUGCCAUCGGAUGUGCCCAGAUGGGAUUAGCUAGUAGGUGGGGUAACGGCUCACCUAGGCGACGAUCCCUAGCUGGUCUGAGAGGAUGACCAGCCACACUGGAACUGAGACACGGUCCAGACUCCUACGGGAGGCAGCAGUGGGGAAUAUUGCACAAUGGGCGCAAGCCUGAUGCAGCCAUGCCGCGUGUAUGAAGAAGGCCUUCGGGUUGUAAAGUACUUUCAGCGGGGAGGAAGGGAGUAAAGUUAAUACCUUUGCUCAUUGACGUUACCCGCAGAAGAAGCACCGGCUAACUCCGUG